rnacentral:rRNA from 1 species
AACGAACGCUGGCGGCAGGCCUAACACAUGCAAGUCGAGCGCCCUUUCGGGGGAGCGGCGGACGGGUGAGUAACGCGUGGGAAUAUGCCCUUCUCUACGGAAUAGCCUCGGGAAACUGAGAGUAAUACCGUAUACGCCCUGUGGGGGAAAGAUUUAUCGGGGAAGGAUUAGCCCGCGUUGGAUUAGGUAGUUGGUGGGGUAAUGGCCUACCAAGCCGACGAUCCAUAGCUGGUUUGAGAGGAUGAUCAGCCACACUGGGACUGAGACACGGCCCAGACUCCUACGGGAGGCAGCAGUGGGGAAUCUUAGACAAUGGGGGCAACCCUUAUCUAGCCAUGCCGCGUGAGUGAUGAAGGCCUUAGGGUUGUAAAGCUCUUUCAGCUGGGAAGAUAAUGACGGUACCAGCAGAAGAAGCCCCGGCUAACUCCGUG